CUGUGGGAGUGCCUUAGAAACCGUAUGACUUGAGGGCAGGAGAGGGGAGUGGAAUUCCCGGUGUAGCGGUGAUAUGCGUAGAUAUCGGGAGGAACACCAGUGGCGAAGGCGGCUCUCUGGCCUGUUUCUGACGCUGAGGCGCGAAAGCGUGGGUAGCGAACGGGAUUAGAUACCCCGGUAGUCCACGCCGUAAACGAUGGGUGCUAGGUGUAGGAGGUAUCGACCCCUUCUGUGCCGUAGUUAACGCAAUAAGCACC
rnacentral:rRNA from 1 species